UAGGAUGGGCGUCCCUGUCCUGUCGGGGCCGUCAUGGCGGGUUUGCUGAAGAAGACCACCGGCCUUGUGGGAUUGGCUGUAUGUGAAAGUCCACACGAGAGGCUAAGAAUAUUCUGCACAAAGAUUCUUGAUGUUCUUGAGCAAAUUCCUAAAAACGCAGCAUAUAGAAAGUAUACAGAACAGAUUACAAAUGAGAAGCUGAGUAUGGUUAAAGUGGAACCAGAUGUUAAGAAAUUAGAAGACCAACUUCAGGGUGGCCAACUAGAAGAGGUGAUUCUUCAGGCUGAAAAUGAACUAAGUCUGGCCAGAAAAAUGUUACAGUGGAAACCAUGGGAGCCUUUAGUGGAAGAGCCUCCUGCCAACCAGUGGAAGUGGCCAAUAUAAUCAUCAUUGAAUGACUAGUGUGUUCAUGGGAAAUGGAUGUAAUUAAAUGUUCUGUUAUAUUAAAAAU